rnacentral:sRNA from 1 species
GCCAGGCGUGGUGGCUCACGCCUGUAAUCCCAGCACUUUGGGAGGCCGAGGUGGGCGAAUCACUUGAGGUCAGGAAUUCAAGACCAGCCUGACCAACAUGGUGAAACCCCAUCUCUACUAAAAAUACAAAAAUUAGCUGGGUGUGGUGGUGGAUGCCUGUAAGCCCAGCUACACGGGAGGCUGAGGCAGGAGAAUAGUUUGAACCCAGGAGGUGGAGUUUGCAGUGAGCCAAGACUGUGCCACUGUACUCCAGCCUGGGCUACAGAGUGAGACUCCAUCUCA